GGUCGAUGGACGGAAGUGUGAACCAGCCAAGUAGCGUGCAGGAUGUGACGGCCCUAUGGGUGUGUAAACUGCUUUUGUUGGGGAGUAAAGUGGGGCACGCGUUGCCUUUUUGCAUUUACCCUUCGAAUAAGGACCGGCUAAUUCCGUGCCAGCAGCCGCGGUAAUACGGAAGGUCCAGGCGUUAUCCGGAUUUAUUGGGUUUAAAGGGAGUGUAGGCGGUCUGUUAAGCGUGUUGUGAAAUUUAGGUGCUCAACAUCUACCUUGCAGCGCGAACUGGCGGACUUGAGUGCACGCAACGUAUGCGGAAUUCAUGGUGUAGCGGUGAAAUGCUUAGAUAUCAUGACGAACUCCGAUUGCGAAGGCAGCGUACGGGAGUGUUACUGACGCUUAAGCUCGAAGGUGCGGGUAUCGAACAGGAUUAGAUACCCUGGUAGUCCGCACGGUAAACGAUGGAUGCCCGCUGUUAGCGCCUGGCGUUAGCGGCUAAGCGAAAGCAUUAAGCAUUCCACCUGGGGGAGUACGCCGGCAACGGUGAAACUCAAAGGGAAUUGACGGGGGGCCCGC
rnacentral:rRNA from 1 species